ACUUAAAAAAUUCCAUACAAAUUACCACACAUUGAGAGAUUAUUAGAUAUUGAGUUAAAAAUCUGAGUAAAAGGACAGUGAUGAUAUAAAAUGAACCUGCCAUUCAUCCCUAAUGCUCAGAGAUCAUAAGAUAACGUGCCUCUCUGUUUCCUAGUAUUUUGUAGAAGCAGCUGAGGUUUAGAAGUAAAUACACUGGGCAGGCCAGAUACAGAAAAUACUAAAAACAUAUUUUGCUUCCCUCUUUCUAGUUAAGCCAAAAAAUAAGGGAGGAGUGAUGGCAUCAUAUUUUACUUGUGAAAAAUCUGGAACUUGGCAGGUGCUAACAUUAAUUGAAUGCAAAAUAGCUUUAAGCUGAUGCAUUUCCCUGACAUUGAAGUUAAAACAUGACUUUGGGAUAUGUUUGUUUUUAUUUCCUUUCUGAAUUUAUAUUCCAAGGGAAUAACCUACAGAAAAAGAUAUGGCUCAUGUCCUUUUUGUCUUUUUUGUCCUUUUUGUACUCAUGUCCUUUUUGUAUUAUU
rnacentral:lncRNA from 1 species